GCGAGCGUAGCUCAGUUGGCAGAGCGCCACCUUCCCAAGGUGGAUGUCGAGGGUUCGAACCCCUUCGCUCGCUCCA
rnacentral:tRNA from 1 species